rnacentral:rRNA from 1 species
GACGAACGCUGGCGGCGUGCUUAACACAUGCAAGUCGAACGGAAAGGCCCUGCUUUUGUGGGGUGCUCGAGUGGCGAACGGGUGAGUAACACGUGAGUAACCUGCCCUUGACUUUGGGAUAACUUCAGGAAACUGGGGCUAAUACCGGAUAGGAGCUCCUGCUUCAUGGUGGGGGUUGGAAAGUUUCGGCGGUUGGGGAUGGAAUCGCGGCUUAUCAGCUUGUUGAUGGGGUAGUGGCUUACCAAGGCUUUGACGGGUAGCCGGCCUGAGAGGGUGACCGGCCAAAUUGGGACUGAGAUACGGCACAGACUAGUACGGGAGGCAGCAGUGGGGAAGAUUGCACAAUGGGCGGAAGCCUGAUGCAGCAAAGCCGCGUGCGGGAUGACGGCCUUCGGGUUGUAAACCGCUUUCGCCUGUGACGAAGCGUGAGUGACGGUAAUGGGUAAAGAAGCACCGGCUAACUACGUG